GCCAGUGUGGUGUAGUGGUUUGAGUGUUGGACUAUGACUCUGGAGACCAUGGUUCAGUUCCUAGCUCAGCCA